CGGCCGCGGACAGAGGUAACCGCUGCGUCGUCCGGCGCACGGGACUCAGCCUGGAGCGGCCACCCGCGUUCGCGUCGGUGAGGAGCGGCCGGGCGGCGCCAGCGCCAUCCCUCGGGGAACCGAAGGGAUCCGGGCGGGCCUCGCGGGCCGCGCUGCCGCGAGCGGCGACGCAGUGCUGGAGAUCAAAUUCAGUUGACUAUUUAAAAUACACCAAUUACUGUUUACUGCUUCUGCGGCCAACAUCUCGUGUGUGGUCGGUCAGCCUGUUUGCUCUGCUCUGAGGAGGUAAAAUAGAGGCCUGCACUCAUGUCUGCAAUUAGUUCUGGGUUAGAAUCCCUGCUCUCCACUCAUUGGCUGUUUAAUCAUG
rnacentral:lncRNA from 1 species